UACGUAGGGGGCGGAGCGUUGUCCGGAUUUAUUGGGCGUAAAGAGCUACGUAGGCGGUUUGGUAAGUCGGGUGUGAAAUCUCCACGCUACAACGUGGAGGGGCCACUCGAUACUGCCAUGACUCGAGUCCGGUAGAGGAGUGCGGAAUUCCCGGUGUAGCGGUGAAAUGCGCAGAUAUCGGGAGGAACACCCGUAGCGAAGGCGGCACUCCUGGGCAGUAACUGACGCUGAGGAGCGAAAGCGUGGGGAGCGAACAGGA
rnacentral:rRNA from 1 species